GACGAACGCUGGCGGCGUGCCUAAUACAUGCAAGUCGAACGCAGUGGGGACGGGUGAGUAACACGUGGGUAACCUCCCAUCAGACGGGAUAACACGUGGAAACAGGUGCUAAACCGAUACUGAUGGAUGGACCCGCGGUGCAUUAGCUAGUUGUGGGGUUAACGGCUCACCAAGGCCACGAUGCAUAGCUGGUCUGAGAGGGUGAUCGGCCACACUGGUACGGAGACACGGCCCAGACUCCUACGGGAGGCAGCAGUAGGGAAUCUUGGGCAAUGGACGCAAGUCUGACCGAGCCACGCCGCGUGAGUGAAGAAGGUUUUCGGUUCGUAAAACACUGUUGGUAGAGAAGCGUUAUCUACCGAGAAAGCCACGGCUAACUACGUGCCAGCCGCCGCGGUAAUAC
rnacentral:rRNA from 1 species